rnacentral:lncRNA from 1 species
CGUGCUACAACAUAUGUUAAAAUUUGAGAUUUAUUUGUUUUUUCAUUUACUCAUUUUUUAAUAAAAAUUUAGGCAUAUUCAUUAUUUAAUUCAUGAAAUGUACUUAAGAUAAAAGAAAGUCUGACACAUCCUUCAACUUUCCUUUUACUGAAAGCCCUUGACUACAGACUUUUUCAAUAGUAAUUAUUCUUCAACCUCUGAAAUAGUUUAAUUCUGCCCUUCCACCAAAUAGUUAACUAGAUUUCUUUGUCUUUUAAAAUACAACUGUCAUGCACGAAUCGUAAUGAUUCUAUGUGGAUAAUUUCAUAGUGGUCAUCACUACUAUCGCUUCCAGUUUCAUGAUUGAAUAAAUUAGGGAGAUAAUUUUUACAAAGUAGAAUCGUGACUGUAACCACUGCCACAUUCUAU